UACGGAGGGGGCUAGCGUUGUUCGGAAUUACUGGGCGUAAAGCGCACGUAGGCGGCUUCGCAAGUUAGAGGUGAAAGCCCAGGGCUUAACCCUGGAAUUGCCUUUAAAACUGCAUCGCUAGAAUUGUGGAGAGGUAAGUGGAAUUCCGAGUGUAGAGGUGAAAUUCGUAGAUAUUCGGAAGAACACCAGUGGCGAAGGCGACUUACUGGACACAUAUUGACGCUGAGGUGCGAAAGCGUGGGGAGCAAACAGG
rnacentral:rRNA from 1 species